rnacentral:lncRNA from 1 species
AGCAAACUAGAGACACUUCCCCAAGAAGACACAGCGUGGCAAGACUGCUGAGACGCAUAAAGAAAUCUUAGCUGGAAUGCCUUCUCAGAAUCUUGAUUUUCAAAGUGAUGGAUUGGGAGAUCCCAAGCCAUGAAUAAAGGGUGCUCAUCACAGAUGGAACAAUGGCGAGAGCACACCUGGACAGGGGAGGGGCAGGAGUUCUGAUUCCUGACACAGGUUUCCUGGUUGAAUGUUCUGUUGUAGAAGAAUGCAACUGAGUUUUCUAAACAGAUCUUCUUCUUGACAUCCUUGCUGAACGAGAGCAAAGGAGACAGCUGGGAGCAGAUGGGCAAAUCCCAGUUUGCCCAAAGAAAUGUCUAUUUUCCAAGGGGCAUGAAGAAUUUAGGAAUAAAGCAGAUCUGAUUUCUAAUUCUGACUUUGCUACUGGCAAAUUGUGUGGACUCAGGAAAGUGACCGGCCCUCUUUAAGACUCAGUGUGCUUACCUCUGAAAUGGAGCUGUCAAUCACAUCUGCCUCACAGGCUUGUUCUGAGGAUGAAGUGAGAAAAUGCCCACGAGGUGCUGGUUGCAGCAGCUGGUGCAUAGAGCUUAAAAAGGAUGCAGUCCCAAAACAUAGAAGGAUUUACUCCAGAUCCAAGCAAUGAGUCAGGAACAGAAAGCCUGAUGCCCUCACCUGGAACUCUCCCUCCUCCCUGGAUGAGGACCUUCCCCAGAAUUGCAGGGCACCCACACAAGACCAAGCAAGUUCAGAGAAAAUUGAAACCUGACUUUAGAGCCUCUGGGAUGUUCACUACACCUCAUUGAACCUGUUUGGUUCACAGAGCUCCAACUACCGUCUACUUCCUGCAACUGGCCUGCUGCCAACUCCCCAGAUCUCUUGUGGAGCUGCCGGAAGAGACAGCCUGCCACAGAAGAAAGCAGCCCUCCUCUUUCAUGGCCUCCCACAUCUUGAAACAAACACAAGCAAACAAAACAAAAGCUUGAGUCCCAGCCUGAUUCACCAGGUUUGGUUCCCAAUUGUUGAAAUUCCCUUCCCAGGGCUCUCAGAACCAGGGUUGGCUGGAGGGGUGAAAGAGGCUGGCCCUGAGCCCAGUAAUAGGACACCAAGGGGGAGCUAAAAGCUGGGAUCUGGGGUGAAGAUGGGGUCUUCCAAGCUGGGAGGCAGACACCAGGCCAGAGCAACCGGCCUGCCCCAGCUCAGGCCUCUUAACCCAUGCAGGGCAAGAGUAUAAACAGAGGCCACGGACCACAUGCCUCAGUAUUUAAACUUAUAAAUCAAGCUAACAUAACAUGAAAUCAAAUAUGUUCUAUCCUCCUAGCUUGACAAAUACUUUCAUAACGAGAUGGAAUGCCAGGUUCAGAUUUAGAAUUUUCACACUCCUUAAAGUUCCAAGUCAAAAUACAGCAUUAGGGGAGGGCCCCCAACCUCGAGGUCUCCCCUCCCCCAUUUUCUUUCACUCCCAGCUCUGUCUCACACCACGAGGGAUCUUGGGUGAAUGCCCCUCGAUACCCCAGCCCCCCACAAACAGCUGCCCUUUCCCCCCUUGGCCAAGGGUAAGCACAGCAGCAGGGCAGUCUGCCCUUGGCUGGAGAGAUGGAAGGAGAGGCCACACGGGCCCUGAAAAUGCAUUUGGGGACUCUUGGGCAGGAAACUUGGGAGUUUCUGGAGCCUCAAGGAGGGUCUAGUGGGACAGAGCCACUUGGGCCCAUGAGAUCCUUGACCCAUGGAGAAGGGUAGGGCUAGAGGAGGGCCAGGGCAGGCCCUAUGAACAGAAGAACCUAGAGUAACUGCCCUGUCCCCAGAUCCUGUCACCGAGCAGGUAUACUUGGGAGGGUAUUGGAGGGUGGAACCCAAGGGAGCUUGCCCAAGGCACUAGGAAAGAAAAGUGUAAACCUUGUUAGAGAAUGCUAAGGAUAGCUGUUAAAGCCUCAGAGAUUUUACUCAUUUUUGGCUGUUUCUAAAAAUCUUCCCCCAAAGGAAGAUCUUGCUCUCAUUGAGGAUCUGAGAAAGAAUUCUCUCCAAGUAGUUUCAAAACAUUCUGAUGUAAAAACUCUGGUGUGUUAGUCAAAAAUAAAUUUUGUUGCUUGAUGGCUUCACCAUUCACAAAAUAUUCUAUCCAUCCAAUUUAAAAAUAAGAGCAGGGUAUUUAAAACUCUUUCAAUAAACACAAAUUAAAACAAUGAAGCUUG